rnacentral:misc_RNA from 1 species
ACUACCUACCUGCUCGGCCAUUUUAUCAAUAAACAAGUAUCGAAUUAAAUUGUUUUCGUAAUUGAAAUAAUCUCUUUUCGCCAAUUAGUAAGUGGAGUUGAACUAAUAAUUGAUCAAUUAAAUUAGCAUAUCAACGAUUACUCUAAUCAUAAAUGAAUAGCAGCGAAGAAUUAAAGAUAAAUCCUCUACUUUCGUUUUAUAAAAACAACCUAAAAGAACUAUUAGCAGACGACGAACGAUUUAUCAUUCAUCUUUGCCAAGAGAGUGUUUUUAAUCUUGACGAUAGAAAACGUGUAAAGUUGGAUUUCGAAGCAAUUUUUAACAGUUAUAUUCUAACAUUACCUACUUAUAAACUUUUAGCUAUUUUACAUAAAUUAUCACUAGAUAAACACGUAAAUUUAGCUCGUAAAAUAGAAAAUACAUGGGAAAGUUUAAUAAUAGAAACAAAGAGAUUAGCUGUUGAAAACUAUUCAACAGUGUUGAAAUUUUCCAAAUUUCAAAGUGAUAAAGUAAACUUUAUCAAUUUUCAAAAUAUAUUAACUCCAAUACAAAUCGUUGCUCGAAAGAAACCCGAAUCAUAUAAAGAUGAUGUUUACUUUGAGGAAGGUUUCGAAUUUCUAGAAAAUAUUGACAAUUCUCAAGGUCGUUUUCUAAUUAAAGGUGAAGCUGGCGUUGGAAAAAGUUAUCAUUUUAUUAAACUUAUUCAUUUAUGGGCGAUUCAAGAGAGAAUCCUUCAAGAUUAUCUCGUUUUAAAAGUUGAUUUGAGUCAACUUUCUUCUAAUGAUAGCUUUGAAGAGAAUUUAUACAAUCAGAAUUUUAGCAAAGAUUCAUGGGUAACACGUGACCUUUUACAUUAUUUCUUAUCGGACGAUUGCGAAUAUAGAAACAUAAAGAUUAUUUUUCUAUUUGACGGAGCAGAUGAAUACGGAAGUAAAGAAUCCCUUUUUUCAAAUAUUAUUGAAAAUGACGGAUGUAUCAAAUUUCCAAUAAUUGUUUGGUGCCGAAACUGGAAAGCCGAACAAAUAGAAGAUACUUAUCAUAAUGUUCUUGAGAUAUUAGGUUAUAAAGAUGAUCAUAUACCUUUAUUUUUUGCCAAAUUCUUUCACGAAGGAACAGAUAUAUUUCAAAAUUUAAUAGAAUCCGAUAAUACUCCAAAGAGUCAGCAACUAAUAAACUUUUUACAAAAGAAUAGAGAGGACCUACUAAAAUCUUGCUCAAAUCCUUUAAUUGCAUCUAUAACUGCAAAUAUCUGGGAUACUAAAUGGAAUUCAAUGAAGAAAGAUUCAUAUUCAAUUUACGAUGAUGCUGUUGAAUUGUUGAUGAAGAAUCGUACGAAUACAAUCGAUAAAGAAGAUUACGAUGCAUUUCUUCAUCAAUGCGCACUAGAAGCAUUUAUAAACAUUCUUUUUGAUAAACCAAUCGAAAUGAAAAAAUACAGUGAAGAUUCUAAAGUAUUUGGCAACUUAUUAACAACUUUAACAUGCUUUCAAACCGGAAAGAAACAUUAUAGAUUUAUACAUUUUUCAUUUCAAGAAUAUUUCGCAGCUAAAUUUAUCAUAAAAUGCUUAGAAACGAACGCCAAUUGCCUUAUUUCAGAUGUUACUGAACAGCAAUGUCAAGGUAAACUUUUAGAGAUAAUUUGCCAAUCAACUUAUACUCUUAAGUUAAAGGCGACUUUUGAUUUUAUUAAAAGUCAAAAUAUGCAAAUUUUUUCAAUGAUUAUCAAAGAAAAUCCAAUAAUUUUAAGUAUUUUGGAUACUGUUAACGAAAAAAUUAUAGAUUUAAUCAAAUACAAAAGUGAUAGUCAAAAGAUAUAUCUCGAAGAUGGAUAUCUAUCAACAACAGUAUGGUUUUCGAUUGUUGAAACAUUUUCAAGAAAUAUUACUGUAUUAUCGUUCAAAAAUGUUAAAAUUAACUUUCAAAAGUUUAUUAAUAUUUCAAUUGAAAGCUUAAAAGGAACAUUGAUUGAAUUAUCUAUAGACUCUGGUGUGUAUAAUCAUUUUUCUGUUAGAAUGAUAGAGGAUAUCGUCAAAGAAUUCUCCAAUUUAAAACUACUCUUAUUAGCUAAUAUUCCAUUUAAUAAUUCAAAAAAGGCAAACUUUUUCAUCAAUUCAAAUUCUUUAGAAUCGUUAAGUUUAAUUAAUUGUGAAAUUGACUUUAAUUUACUAAACCUUUUGAAAUGUAGGCAUUUAAAUCACCUAAAUCUAUCCCACAAUACAAUAGCAGCUGGUCAAUUAGAAAAACUUGUUGAUUAUCUAGAAAAUUCCCUUGAACUUCAUUCAAUAAACUUUUCUUACUGUGCUUUAAAAGAUGAACAUUUUACGAUUUUGAAGAGAUUAUUCGAAGAGAUGACCGAUAUUUACAAUUUCUGGUUAGAUGGAAACGAAUUUAGUGAUAGUUUUGUUGAUGAUUUAAUGAAAUUUCUAAUUGAAAAUGGCAAUAAUGUUAAAGAAUUCUCAGUUAAAGAUUGUAAUAGUAACAUUACAGCGUCGACAGUUACUAGUCUAUUGGAUAAUAAUCUAUCUUUAAAUAUUCUUAAUCUCUAUGGUAAUAAACUGUUAAAUGUAAGAGAAGUUUCAUUUCCAAAGAGUAUUAUUCUUUCCAAAGAACUUCAGGAGUUAAGAUUUCCCAUAAUGGAUUGCGAUACUGCCAUUGAAUAUAAAGAUUUCUAUGAAAUAAUGGAUGGAAAUCUUGAAUUGAAAAUGUUGGAUUAUAGUGGAAAUAACUUAAAAGUACAGUUUCUAUUUGGUGUUUUACAAAAGAUUAUCUCUUUUUCGACUAAUCUAGAGAGUAUAAACCUUAGUAAUUGUAAAUUACCAUUAGAACAUCAGGAGGAAUUAUUUAAUAGUUUAAAAGUACACGAUAAACUGUUGAAUAUGAAUUUAGAAGGAAAUUUAUUGAAUGAAAAGAUAUUUCUUAAUUUUAUUAAUCAUAGAUCAAAAAAAUUGAAUAAAGAAGGAGUGAAACUAAACGUAUCUCAAUGCGAUCUUAGACAAUUUUCUCUAAUCGAAUUGAUAAAUUUGAAUAUGUUAUCUAUAAAUUUAUCUGGAAAUAACUUGAAAGAAACUAUUAAUUGGAAGAAAAUGACAAUAAAAAAUCCUACAUGUAUUAAAGAACUUCUCCUUCAAAAGUGCCAAUUAAACUCUUCGUUUGUUAACGUACUAACCGUAAAUCUUCAUAAUUUACCAUCAUUAGAAGUUUUGGAUAUAUCAAUUAAUAAGUUUAGUGAUCAAGCCAUUUUGAAUUUUUUCAAUAAGGCCUCAACUCAGAAAAAUAGCUUAAAAUAUGUUUAUUUUUACGGUGGAAAGUUAACUAUAAAAGCUUUAAUUGAUUUAUCAAUAUCUAUAAGUAAAAUAAAUGAUAUUGAAGUCAUUAAUUCACCUUUUAUAGACGAGGAAAGUGAUGAUUUUAACCAAUUGAAUUCUAUUAAUUUAGCAAAUUCGAAAUAUUUUAAUCUACAAAUUAUUAAUGAAAUUCUAUUUCAAAUAGACAGUAUAAUGAAAUAUAAGAAAUUACAAAUAAAUUCAACAGAAUCACCAAGAUACGAUAUGAUUCGAAUGGUAAAAGAAUCAUCAUUAGAAAUAAGGAGUAUAAGUAUUUAUGACGAUUUAAUACCAGAUGAAAUAAAUCAUAUGAAAUCAAUUAUUGAGAAUAAUACCGAUAUUGAAACUAUGGAAUUAAAUUUUAAUUUAUCCCAUGAAACUAUAAUGACGUUUUUUGGAAUGACAAAAGAAUUUAUUCGAAGGAUUAAAUCAUUUAGUUACAAUUCAAAUAGCAAUUCAAAAUCAAGUAUUAUGGAUAUAAUAAAUUUUCAUGAAUUCUUACAUAAUCAACAAGAUUUAAAACGUCUCUCUUUAACUUGUUUGAAUUUUGUAACAAGUAACGCCAUUAAAUUUUUUAAAGACUAUCCAAAUAAUUCACAAAAUUUGAAUACUUUGAAAUUAUUUCGUAGUAAAUUUACAGAGGAGACAAGCGAAUAUCUUGGAAAAUUCAUUAGUAAUCAAUUAGGUUUAAAAUCUCUGGAUUUAGGAUCAAUUAAUCUUGAUGGUAAUAUUGGAGAGAAAUUGUUUAAGAAUAUCUCAAACUCUUGCUGCAAUCUAAAUAAAAUCAACUUAUCUAAUUGUCAUUUAAACGAUACAGCAUUGGAAUAUCUUGGACAAGUUUUUAGUUAUCAAACACAUCUGGAUUCUAUAGAUUUAUCUGGAAUUGAUUUAAGUAACAAAUACGGAUGUCAAUUAUUUCAGAAUUUGGCCAAUUCAAAUAAAUUUACUAAAGUUAAAUUGCAAAAUUGUAGUUUAAAUGGUAAAAUUUUACCAGAUUUGCAAAGAUUUAUUCAAAAUCAAACAAAUUUAAAUGUCGUUGAUCUGUCUAACGUAAAGUAUAAUGUCGAUAUUCAACAAGAUAUUCUUCAGGAUUUCUCAUUCAAGUGUAAAAAUAUAAGUGAACUUUACUUACGCAAUUGUCGCUUUAGUGAUAGUCUCUCGAGAGUUAUUGGAAAACUACUAACUGAACAAAACAGUAUAAAUGUUCUGGAUUUAUCAUUUUCUAACUUAUCUAAAACGGGAGCUGAAAAUUUGUUCAAUCAAAUAUCUCAUAAUACAAGCUUAUCUGAAGUUGAUCUAAGCAAUUCAACAUUUACGGAAGAUAUGAUUGAAUACAUAGGGAAAUUUCUUUACAAUCAAAUAUCUCUAAAAGUUAUGAAUAUUUCCAUGAUAAAACUUAAAAAUAUGGUUGGAAUGUUAUUCUUUCAGCAUCUUACAAAUCCAAAUAUGAAACUCAAGGAACUGUAUCUAACUGGCUGUAAAUUUACUGCUAACAUGACUGAAUACAUUGGAAAGUUUAUUGAUAGCCAAAAUCAUUUACAAAUUUUAGAUCUAUCAAACACAAAUCUACGUUCAAACAUCGGAAAAAAUCUCUUUAUUAACAUAUCGAACAAAUGCUGUAAUUUAAGGAAUUUGAAUAUGGAAAAUUGUCAAUUAACAGAAGAUAUGACAGAAGAACUUGGAAAAUUCAUUGGCUAUCAGAAUCAAUUGAAUAUACUAGACUUGGCCGAUGUAAAUUUAGAGCAUAACAUUGGAAAGAAUUUGUUUGAAAAUAUUUCUAAAGUAUGCUGUAACAUCCAUGAAAUAUGUUUGGAUGACUGCAAACUAACUGAAGAUAUGUCAGAUUCUCUUGGAAAAUUCAUUGGUUAUCAAAACAAAUUGGAGCUUUUGUAUAUGGCGAAUGCAGACCUGAAAAAUGAUAUUGGGAAAAAUUUCUUCAGAAAUAUUUCCAGCCAAUGCUGCAAUAUUAGAGAAAUUAUUAUGGAAAAAUCCAUAUUUACAGAAGAUGUAACAAAAUAUCUGGGAGAAUUUAUUAGCUACCAAAAGAAAUUGAAACUAUUAGAUAUUGCCGAUACGAAAUUAGAUAAUGCCAUUGGAAUGAAUUUAUUUAAAAAUGUAUCGGAUCUAUGCUGUCCAAAAGCCGUCAAUUUAUUAGGAUGUAAACUUUCAGAUCAAGUUACCGAAUGUUUAGAUAAUACCUUUGGCUUAGAAACAGAUAUUGCUAUGGAUUCUUCGGCAGAUGAAUGUGUUAAUGAAGAGAUAGAUAUGUUAGCCUAACAUAAUUGAUUAUAAUACGUUUAUCUUCUACUUGAUAUCAUCAGAUUGUAAUUUGUGUUUCUUAUUUUUCUAUAGAGUUUAUAAUUUUCUAGGUCAAUUAUUAUAAAUAAAUAAUUUUUAUAUUAAGUGAUAGUUUGAUUGUUUCAAUAUGGAAGAGAGUACUUAUCUAAAAAUAGUACUGUUUCACAAUCCACUCUCUGAUCUCAGCCAAUUGAUGUGCGUGUUAUGUUCAAACAGUAUACGGAACAAUGUUCUAAAUGAUCUUCUGUCGUCUGCCAGUACAUUGAUCAGACACUGAAGAUUGUAUCAUUAUGGUCAACGUAAAAUGUCUGAAUGAUGUAUGGAAAAUUUAAAGAAAUAAGAAGGCCCAAGUUUUAUUAGCAAUAAAAACAUUUAAAAACUGAUUUUCAAUAUUUAUGUUAUUGAUAAUUGGUAGUGCAAUAUUAGCAUUAACAGGUGAAUGACCGACAUAUUCUUGAAUUUGCAUUACAAGAGUGUGGCUCCUCACAUCAGCUGCAAUGAAAUAGUUUCCUUCUACUAUUGGAUUGUAUAAAGACGGGACUAUGCCUUGAUUAAAGGUAAGUAUUUUACGUGAAUACAUUCAAACAUAAUAACUGUUAUAUAAUUUUUAUAAGACGUUUCUUCUUUGGAUGACAAAGUCUAUUUCAACGGAAGUGUUGACGAUAUAUAAAGGGUAUUAUACAUAUUAUAUGAUAUUAAGCAUCAUUUCACUAAAAGUAGCCGUCUUUAUUGUAAAUAAUAAAAUUUGCUGGCAGCUAGCAUACGCAACUAAAAAUGUAUGGAACUGUGAUGAAAAAUAACGUCAUUUUUUGUUUGCUUCAAUUCAUUUUCCUACGAAUACCUUCAUUAUCACUGAAUUUUUUUUAACCUAUCAAUAUAAUGAUUAAUCUUUAACCUACGUAUACAUUGCUUUCCCUUUGUACUAUAAAUAAAGAUACAAGGAUUGAAGUAUAAUGUCGUAUAUUAAUAAUUUUAGAAAUAGACCAAUAUAACUUUAAGAAUUUUGAACGAUAUAUUUUUAAAUAGUAAAUAGUUGCAAUCUUGUUGACAACAUGAGUGUAAAUAUGGAAUUGAUAAUCAUUAAUCAUUUACAAUGAAUUGUUUGUAUUACAAAAAUAAAAAUUAUAUUUAAAGCUCUAACGACGUAUUUCUGAAUGUUUACUGAUAAAUCAGACAGAUAGUAAUGUCGCUUCUCUGAAAUAUAGAAUAUUCUAUUUAAUGUUAAUGAGAUUAACAUCUAAUACUAAAUUUUCUUAACGGUACGUAUCUUUUGUUUUAAAGAGAUUAAUAAGUGUUCAAUUCCGCGAUUAUGAUAUAUUAGUAAUUAGACUUUCAAUAAUUGCAUACACAUUUACAAUAACUUAUUUUAAUGAUACUAAUUAUGCGAUAAAAACUAAUUAAUAUCUCUCAGAUGAAUCCGUGUUCACUUGAAUUGCGCUUGAACAAUAGUUCACCAGGAAAGAUGUAAGAAUUGUUAAGCUUUACAUAUAGACUGUAGAGAGAAAGUUAUUCGAUCAACCCCCAAUUAGAUUUCUCCACUAAAAUUGAUAGAUUGAUCAUCGACCUAUUUAAUUAUUAUUUAAAAUUCAAUUUCUUUAUGAUUACUCUUUAUUGGACAAUUAUUGAAUUUAAUAAGAGUGCAAAAUCAUGUGACACAUUUCGACAAUUUUUGAGAUUACUAUAUAAUUGUUUAGUGAAGCUUCUGAUUAAUUUAACAAUAAUCAUCUUGCGUUGGUGCAGAGCAUGUUUUAUAAUGAAAAAUAGAAGUUGGACUGGUAAUUAGCAUGUCAUCAAAAAUAUGACCAAAAUGUAAAAUUGACUUGUUAGCUGUAACUGAAAUACCAGAGCAAUUUUGUAAACUUUGACAUAAUUUCAAACAUUGAAUUGAAAGUUGACAAUCUUGAUCAAAUGUAUCUUUUUUCAUUUCUAUUGAGGAUAGAGAAUAGAAAGGAGUUUCGACAAUAGCCGGUUGUCCAAUUAUAUAUAUAUUAGUAAAAGUGAAUUGAAAAGGUGACUUGACUAUAAGAUAUCGUCCAAUAGUAGUUCUCUUACAAGUUAUAGUAAAAUAAUAUCUGUCGUCUUUAAUCGUAAAAGUAUCAGUAUCUGAAGAACUGAGAUGAUUGCAUAGCGUUGUUCUUAAUCGUUCAGAGUAUCCAUGACCCAAAUGAAACGAAAUCUUUCCGUUGACAUUUGGUUGUACAUCCGUUGUAACUAAUAUCUUUUCGACAUUUGAGCAUGUUUUCAAUUGAAGUUUGAAUACACUCAAAUACAAAUUAAUAGGAAUUGAAGUUGUAAGCGUUGGUUGCGGAUAACUGAUAAAUGUAGCUAAGUAUUUUACCGUUGCUUUAAAUUAUUGAUAUUAUUAGUUAAUUUAUAUAUUCUGCAUCUUAUUUGAAGGUUUAUACCUAUCUUAAGAAGAUCUUUUACAACACCAGCAAUAAGGAGAUAAAAUCUGGUCGGAGUUGUAGUAUCAAAAGCAAUUGUAUCUCCAAGUGAAGAGCAGCAGUUGUGUUUUAAUCGAGAAUGGAAUGGAUAUUCGCUAGUUUGAUCUUUCAAUUCAGAAAUACAUCUUACAUUGCUGUCAGGAGGACUAGACUUUCUAGUAUGGAUACCAAUCACAUCGAAUUUUUUAACGAGAAAAGGUUCUUCUAAUUCUACCAUUUGUACUUGAUGAAGUGGUCCUUGAGGGACGUUUGUUUCGUGGACUAAUGUAUAAGUUAAAUCACUAACUGGUCUCCAAAUUGCUACAUUUUAAACGAAAUUAUUAAGGGCGAAAGUACGAAAAUAUCAACGCAAGACACACACCUAUAUAACAAAGAUAGAAUAUACGUAUUGUGGUUUCUGCGAAUGAUAAUAAGGAAAAUGGACGAACUUUGUUAAUCUGUAAAGUCUUUAUAAUUUUUUUACAAAUUAUGAUAUUUAAUAUAAAAAACCUUGGAUAACAA